UACGGGGGGGGCAAGCGUUGUUCGGAAUUACUGGGCGUAAAGGGCUCGUAGGCGGCCAACUAAGUCAGACGUGAAAUCCCUCGGCUUAACCGGGGAACUGCGUCUGAUACUGGAUGGCUUGAGAUUGGGAGAGGGAUGCGGAAUUCCAGGUGUAGCGGUGAAAUGCGUAGAUAUCUGGAGGAACACCGGUGGCGAAGGCGGCAUCCUGGACCGAUAUUGACGCUGAGGAGCGAAAGCCAGGGGAGCAAACGGG
rnacentral:rRNA from 1 species